rnacentral:lncRNA from 1 species
UAGUGACCCUGGAGGGCGAACUCCAUCUUUAACUCAAAAAACAUCUGUCUUUCUUCGUCUCCCUUUUGGUUUCGACCUCCUGAAGUGCACGAGGUCUCCCCCUCUCCGGGCUGCUCACACCUCUUCCCUUCCUUUCCCCUCCAUCUCUUUUUCAGACCAUUGGCUUCUAUCUCAGUAGCGGGGAUGUUUCUCAGGCUCCUGGUCUACUCAGCCAGCAGCGCUCCAUUUCUUCAGCAUCAGAUAUGAGGCAGCAGGCUCUGGUGGUUCACUGUCAAGAAACUAGAUGGAUUCUGACACAUGUGAUCUAAGUUCCUUCCUUUAAGUGCCUUCUGGACUCCGUGAAAUUUAAAGGCUAGGAAGGACUCCACAUGAAUCCUUCUGCGUCUGGCUUAUUUCAGCUAACAGGACAACCUCCAGUUCCAUCCAUGUGCGUGCAAAUUACAUCAUUUCAUUCUUUACCAAUGAAGAGACCGUUUUUAUAUAUCCCUCUUUCCACUGUCGUCUGUCGGUUGAUGGAUGUCCAGGCUGAUUCCAUAUCUUGUCUGUAGUGAACGGUCUUGCAAUAAAGACGAGUGUACAGGUGUCUGCGGACAUGUUGACUUGGAUUCCUUUGGGUGUUAUUCCCAGGGGUGGUACACCCAGAUGUAUGGUGGCCCAGAGAGAACAUUUUCCCCAGGAGAUCCAGAAGUCCUUGUGUUGGAAGCAAGUUCUGGAUGCCAUGAGAAACUUGGCCUCUGGGGAACACCACUGCCCCCCGCUGAGCUUCUAUCUGC